rnacentral:misc_RNA from 1 species
AAGUCGUAACAAGGUAACCGUAGGUGAACCUGCGGUUGGAUCAUUAUCGUAUUAAAAAUCUUGGGGUUGGUCAUGUUUUUGCAAGGCCGGCCCUGGGUUUUUUUAACACCUGUGAAUGUUUUUCGUAUUUUCGGCAGCGUAACCGGUAUUCUCCUUCGGGAGGGUAUUGCUGUCGAAGUUUUAACCAACUAUUGUAUUAUAUUUUAUCAAAUGUCUUGUCAAUUGGAUUGAGGUUCAAAACUUUUAAACGGGUGUUGUGUCUCAUUGUCCUCUUGAAAUUUUAUAAAUGGAUUACAACUUUAGACAAUGGAUCUCUUGGCUCUU